AGCUAGUGUGGUGUAAUGGUUUGAGCACUGGACUACGACUCUGGAGAUCAUGGUUCAAUUCCCUGCUUGGCCA